rnacentral:misc_RNA from 1 species
CUGUUUCUCCGGCUGCCAGCGCAAGCUUCCUUGUCCUGCGAUUUUUCAUUCUCUCCCUUCUCUCUCACUUUUCGUUGUCAUCUGUGAACGUGCGCGACCAUGAGCGACGACGAGGAUGGAGUGCUCAGUCGUCGGCGCUUCCGCGGCGUGGAUGUCGACGAGGACUUGUCCCCUGGUCUGAUUGUGCGGCUCAAAUACGCCAUGUACCUGUUUGUAGCACUUCUUUUUUCGCUGAUGGCGCGCGGGCUGAUGAGCUCCUUGCUGGAUAAGAUCCCGAUGCUCGAAAAAGGGUGUGCCAUGAGCAGCAAAGGCGGCGUUGUCCAAGCCGCGUGCGCGGCGGAAAUGCUCAUCUACCGCGUAAGCUUCGCGCUCACAGCCUUCUUCGGCAUCCACUUGAUCAGCGUGUCUGACCUGACGUGCUGCAUCCGAAGCAGGGACCUCGCCGAGCUGCAGCGCAGCUUCUUCACAGCCAAGACGGUGCUGCUGGUGGUCCUCUGCAUUGUGACAUUCUUCAUUCCCAACGGCUUCUUCUCUGUGUACGCCUAUGUGUGUCUCGUCUGCUCCGGCUUGUACCUGCUGAUGAACGUCGUCUUCCUCGUCGACUUCUCGUACCAGUGGAGCGACGACUGGAUCGAGCGCGCAGACGGCAACCCCAAGUGGAUGUGGUACCUCCUCGUCAUCGCUGUCGGCAGCUUCGUCCUCGCCAUUGCCGUCAUCGUCGCUUCGUUCGUGAUCUUUGUCCCGCACUCGGACUGCAACUCCAACGCGUGCAUCAUCACGAGCGUCACCGUGGGCGCGUUCAUUUACUUUAUCCUGUCCAUUUACGUUCCGCAUGGCUCCAUUGUGCCGAGCAGCAUUGUCUUUCUCUACACCAGCUGCAUCCUGCUCUUUACGCUGCGCACGACAGACAACGAACACUGCAACCGCAUGGCCACACGCCCGAGCAGCACUACGUACUCGAUUUUACAGACUAUCUUCACGAUGCUGCUCACGUGCUUUACACUGCUCUACAGUGUUGUGGCUGCCGGCGGUAGUGGUGCGUCGCUGAACAUCGGCCAGAACGAGGACGGCGAGGCCGAGAACCCCGAGGAAACUGGCCACCUGUCACACUACAUGUUCUUCUACACCAUCAUGAUCUUUGGCUCCAUGUACCUGGCGAUGCUAGGCAGCUCCUGGCACGUCAGCGGCGCUGGUGAGGACGGCUUGUCGAAGAGUAUCAACAUCGCCUUCUGGGUGCGCUUGUCGACGGUCUGGGCGGCGAUUUUCGUAUACAUUUGGUCCCUUGCGGCGCCAUACACGUGCUGCAAGGGUCGCGACUUUGGCUUCGCGGUGGACGAGGACUGGAUUUGAGAGGUGGGAUGGCAGGCACGUGGUGCCCCCACCGCCAACCUCCCUCCGAGCCACCGCGCUGCUGUUGCGUACCCUUUUCUGUCAGCCAGCCGCUCUCUCUCUAUUUUGUGCUCCGCCUUCCCCGUGUGCCUCCGCUACUCUUCCUCUCUCACACACAGGCCGGGGCCACUGUGCAGCGUUUCUCUCUUUCGGCCUUGUCUCCGUGAUGCGUGAUGCCUUUCUCUCUUUUCUUUCCGCUGCUUGUCACAUGCCACCUCUUCUGCUCUCUCGCCCGCAACGCAGGAGGGAGAACGGGAAGGCGAAGCGGUGUCUACACGCGCACAGAAAGAAGCAAGCCCCCUCCCGCCCCUCAACUGUACACAUAUGCACACAUACGUGCAUAUGCGUGUACCUUCCUCCCACUCUCUUCAGCUCUCUUCUUGCUUUGCUUUCACGUACUUCGGCCAUCCCUCCCCUUCCCCCUACCCCCACAUCACCGCCACAUGAGAUGGCGGGUUAUCUGCAUGGCCAUUUCGUUUUUUUUUCUUUCUUGUUGUUGCCUUGCGAUUGGCUUUCCCCUCCCGUCGCGGUGUUAUCCUUCAGUGUGUGCCGCGCUGUGUGAUGACCACAAGUGUGUGUGUGCGUGUGUGCUUUUCACGGCCUGAGACGCAGGACAUCAACGGGCAUCACUGUUGCUGACCUCCCCGUCUUCUCUCCGCUCGCAUUUCGUUCGCACGCUCGGAGGCCAUCCGCGAUCGGGCCCCUGCGCGGUUCAUGGUGGCCUCUUCAUCUGAAGGAUUUGUGUGUGCCAGUGUCUCCGCGUCUCUCGGGGUGUGUGCUUCUUUCCACAUGUGAGGCCCUAUCUCGUUUUUUAUUGUGUAUGCGAGCGCGUCGUUCGUACGUACUGCAUGUAUGUGCGUGUGUGUGUCCCGUUCCCAAUAUGACUGAGGCACGCCCAUUGAGGACG